UGCGGUUUAAUGUAACGGUAACAUUUUAGACUCAUAAUCUGGCAAUUAAGGUUCAAGUCCUUGGGCCGCAA
rnacentral:tRNA from 1 species